rnacentral:rRNA from 1 species
CCUACGGGUGGCUGCAGUCGAGAAUCUUCCGCAAUGGGCGAAAGCCUGACGGAGCGACGCCGCGUGCGGGAUGAAGGCCCUUGGGUUGUAAACCGCUGUCAGGGGGGAUGAAAGCCGCAAGGCUUGACAGAGCCCCAGAGGAAGCACGGGCUAAGUUCGUGCCAGCAGCCGCGGUAAGACGAACUGUGCGAACGUUAUUCGGAAUCACUGGGCUUACAGGGUGCGUAGGCGGCCUGUUAAGUAGGGUGUGAAAUCCCCCGGCCCAACCGGGGAAU